GUGCUUGCACUGGUCAAUCUAGUGGCGAACGGGUGAGUAACACGUGGGUAACCUGCCCAUCAGAGGGGGAUAACAUCCGGAAACGGAUGCUAAAACCGCAUAGGUCUUCGAGCCGCAUGGCUUGAAGAGGAAAAGAGGCGCAAGCUUCUGCUGAUGGAUGGACCCGCGGUGCAUUAGCUAGUUGGUGAGGUAACGGCUCACCAAGGCCGUGAUGCAUAGCCGACCUGAGAGGGUGAUCGGCCACAUUGGGACUGAGACACGGCCCAAACUCCUACGGGAGGCAGCAGUAGGGAAUCUUCCGCAAUGGACGCAAGUCUGACGGAGCAACGCCGCGUGAGUGAAGAAGGUUUUCGGAUCGUAAAACUCUGUUGUUAGAGAAGAACAAGUGCUAGAGUAACUGUUAGCGCCUUGACGGUAUCUAACCAGAAAGCCACGGCUAACUACGUGCCAGCAGCCGCGGUAAUACGUAGGUGGCAAGCGUUGUCCGGAUUUAUUGGGCGUAAAGCGAGCGCAGGCGGUUCCUUAAGUCUGAUGUGAAAGCCCCCGGCUCAACCGGGGAGGGUCAUUGGAAACUGGGGAACUUGAGUGCAGAAGAGGAGAGUGGAAUUCCAUGUGUAGCGGUGAAAUGCGUAGAUAUAUGGAGGAACACCAGUGGCGAAGGCGACUC
rnacentral:rRNA from 1 species